UCGAGAUCAUGCGCCUGGUCGCUCGGUGUGCUGCUGACUUAAAGGGGAAGUUUGUUGUUGUUUUUUUUGUGUGUUUUUUUUUAACCAUUGUGCCCAAGGAAGAGCAACAAAUCAGAGACAGAAGGUGUGCCCUGUGGGGGUAUCACACUGACCUGUUGGCUUGUGCUUCAGCAGCCAUGCUGGAACUAUUUUGGAAUAUGCCCUGAUGGGGGAAAAAAAAAUGCUCAUUCCUCAUUUACUAACAACUGGGAAAGACUACCAAACAGAAGCAAAGCAACAGGACCUCAGGCACCUGAGAGGAUUCAGAAGCCACACAGAAUUAGCAUUAUUUCUGUUUGACAGGUAUGUUUUUCACCUCUUUUUAAUUUUUAAUUGAUUGUACAUUCCAAAAAUAACCCACAUUCAAACCGAUACAUUUAGUGUUAUAGUAACACUCCAUUACUUAUGUCAUUCUACUUCUCUGCUAACAUUGUAUUGUUUUACAGAAUUAAUGCCAGCAUAGUAUUGCUAGCACUGUUAUUUUGUUGAAGCGUUCUCUGACUAUUUAUCACAACCAUGUGUAAGAAUUACACUCGAGCACAUCAGUGAGGGGUGUGGCAGAUCCAAAAAGGUGGAGGGAUUCGUGAAGUGAGGCUACAUUCAAAUCUUGCUAUCAGUUUUUAAAUUCCAAACUCCCUCUUCAAUAUUGCAGCUUAAUCUUUUAUUGUUAGUUUUUUUCCCCCCCACUUUUUGCUUUUUCAGUGUGGCCCUAACACACCUUUGUAUCAUUUCAUAUUGCUACACUGGAUUUAUCCGAGACUCCUUAUACAGUCCCUCUGACUCACAGAACAGGAUAAGCAGUUGAGAAAAUGGAUAUACGGUAUACAAAAAACAAAACAAAAAAACAGAGAAGAAGAAACAAAGCUGAGGUGACCUUUCACCUUUUGGAAUCUUCUCAAGGCUAAUGAGUACAACAGACCAUGUGGACAGAGCCAAAACACUUCCUGGUGCGGGAUGCUGAGAGGAAAUCUUUAUUUGGAUCUUACAAAACAAAGAGUGCUAGAGGUCAGAGCCGAACACAGGGGCUGUUUGGGUUCAAGAGUGUGGCCAAAGACAAUCAACAGUUCCACCAGGUGGGGGCAAUUAUUGUUAAAAAUGCUUCAAGAUGAGAGUAACACAAACAAACUGCACUCAGAAACGUGUGAGUAUUUUAUUUAAUGCAAUGGUUGUCUUUGCGAUAAAGGAAUUCAGGUUCUGGUCUGAGCUGCUGUUGCAGUUUUUGUCUCAACUGUUGUCACAGUGGGACCCAUAUUUCCCUUUUGUUGCAAAGUCGUGACCCACUUUUAUAGAAGUGAACAACAAUAAAGAAAUUGUAUUGUUUAAAAAUAGCCUGAAUAUUUUUAAGCGUAACUACACUGUGCUCACUUAGUUUUCUUUAAUGAUGUAGUGAUGUUCAUGAGAUGCCAUUUUACAAGUUUGACACACACAUUGCCAUGGUAUUUAACCCCUGACUCCUGCCCCCUAACUCUCUUGGUUCUUCGCUUUGCCUUGCUUCAUGGCUCUUGCUAUCAGCACCCUAGCUACGGGGCAGCCUUUGACCACCCAUGCCCGCCUCCCCUUCCUUCCUUGGGGAAGGGGACUCGGCUUCCCAGCCUCUACGUGGGCCACCGCUAGGCAAUCGGAGCAGCUGCUACUAAAAGUACCAGGUACGCUUCCAGCCAAGCAUGAUCUCUCUGAAAUUGCUAGCGAGUCCCUGAAAAGGCAGGAAGAGAAACAGUCGCAACCUCCCACAGAAUGUGCGAACAACAACUUCUGUCCCCUUUUCCGUCUGUUUUUGUUUUAUUUUUUUGUGCAUCUUUUUCUUUAACGAAACCUACCUCCUCGCCUCCUGAGACGCACUCAGAAAGACCACUCCCAGAGACCAGCUGAUCUACAUUCGUGAGUAGACAUUGCAAUUGUCGCCAGCAUGUACAUGUUUAGUGCCUAAUAACUUGGGGGAAAUUACUAGCAUCACACAAAAUCCCUCUCUCUCGCUCUCUCUGACUCAACGCAUUAAACGCUCACAUUCACAUCUUUAGCCCAGCAGCUCACGAUGUCCUAUAUUUCUUCUUUCACCAGAAUUCGUGUUAUUUUCUUCCUGUAGUCAGCCUUUUGUUUUUCCCUCUAGACCCCUCGUAGAUUUCAUUAAAUAUUCUAUAAAAAUCCACUCUUGGUUGUGUUUUAUGUGUGUUUUGAGUUUAAGUAAGCCUCUGUCAUCUAGAACUCGUAUUUCAUAAAAUGGAGCAACCUUUAGAUUAUGAGACGGAUAAAAGGUUUGUCGUCGCUUUCUCCUAAAUUGUAUUCACAUAAAAAUUGACGUGGUUCCCCUUUAUAAGACAAAUUAGUUUUAUUAUAACGUUAAAAGCGUCAAUCGGACUAACCCGAAAGUUUUUCCAAAUUAAUUACAUUUUUAUUUAAAUCAAUAUACACUACAACAGUGACCAAACCAAAAAACAUGAAAGUGAUUCCGUACGUGGGAUGAUGCUCCACCCCCAAAAGUUACCAACAUUUUCUUUGGGGUAGAAGCAGAUGCCAACAUACACUGCAGGAUUUUUUUUUCCCACCUGCAAAACAAAGGAUAAAUCACCGCCUGUGGUGGAUGCGCAGACGCGUUGCGCACUAAGUCAAAAUGGCUGUGCCCAUAAACACAUGGAGGUAAACAACUGGAAUAUUUUUUAUUUUUUUUUGAAGUGCAGCAGUUGCAGCUCUCGUCAAAAUAAAGUAGUAUGCUCUAUGAGUCAUUCUGAUUCAAAGGUGACAUUUUUGAUUUGGCGUUCGUUUUCAUUUUUCACUCGCGUGUUGACUCGACUCACCACUGAAUCGUUCGUAGCUCUCAAUAUAUGUACAUAUGCAGUAUACAUAUAUACUGUAUAUACACACGCACAUCUAUAUGCAUAUAUAAAACAAUCAAAUUCAAAACAGUAAGUAAGGCAGUAACUGAGUUUGCCUUUUUGAGCUGUGUGACAACAUAUUCGUAUGCCACUGCUCUAAAUAGUUCAUUGUGUGCCGUUUAGAACCGCCGUAAACCGUGGAGCCCCUUUAAUAUUUUCCUAGCUGUCCGUGACCCACUUUUUGGUUCCGCCCCACUGGCUGAGGAUCACUGCUCUACCACACAUACAGUACAUGUGACUUGGGCAUCUGCAGGUGAUUGUUUUUCAAUUGUCUCUAACAGCACAGGCGCUGAACCCACACACGUCAAUUCCAGGAAUCAGUGUUUUGGGAGGAGAAGAGCGAUUGUGUCAUUAGUGGAAAUGAGCCUGUGCUAUGCCCAAACAAGCCCUGUAGAGCACAAACAACUUCUGCACAAGUUUAAGCUGUCGCAGGAAAUCCAGAGACGGCAGCGGCAGCCUAAAGCCGACACAUUUUUGGGCCUCUGUGUGUGUCUUUUAUUGCUGCACAUCUGAACAAGCUUUUUUUUCAUUGGACAAUAUCCCAUUUUCCCACAUGCGUUUAGGAAAUUUCUAGCGUGGGUUUUCUUCCCUGUAAGACAAGUCUUCCAUCAGUCAGGAGAUUGUUGUCACUUACUCGACAAAACGGCCAGUACUUGCCAGAAAUUCUUGCAGGUCCUUGUAUGUUGCUGUCGGCCUCUUGGCAGCAUCCCUGACCAGUUUUCUUCUCAUCUUUUCAUUAAUUCCAGUCCACUUCUUCGUAAUGUCAUAGUUUUGCAAUAUUUUCUCCCUUUGAUUAUGACUGUCUUCAUUGUGUUCCAUGGUAUAUCUAAUGCCUUGGCAACUCUUUUGUGCACUUUUCCUGACUGAUACCUUUGAAAAAUGAAAUCCCCCUGAGAGGAUCAGAUGCACUUUAAAUGGUGGCAAAUGUGUGCUGACUCCCGUUCAACAUGAGUUUGAAUGCGAUUUGUUAAUUCUGUGUGCGCACACUUGUGCAACCACAUUAUUUCUGUUUUUGAUUUUUACUUCCCUCUCUCUAAAAUAUUUUAAAAUUGAGUUCUACAGGUUAAAGGUCACAUUAAUGGUCGGAAAAGCUUUGAAAUCAUAUAUCUGUGUCUCAUUUCUUUCUAUCACAGAAGCCUGGCAUUUGAACAGGAUAGUGUAGACUUUUUACAUCCACUUUAUUUGCAUGGUCUCUGGAGGUUGGUAUGCUAUUCUGCGAUGCAUUUUAUGCUGAUCGGCUGUUGGGCUUUAAUGUCAUAAUUUGCCGAUCCAAUCAAUUAUGUCAUUGAUCGGCUCCGCAAAAGACAUUUACUCCGUGUCGCCAUCGUGUACAGUAUAUAUGAAUCCAAAAGCUAGUUUAUUUUUAGCCUUGUCGUGUGUCUUUUGAUGUAGUGCUGUAAAUAUCUGACAACCAAUAGUUAUUUAAAAAAAAAAAAAAAAAAAAAACAUGUCGACAGUGUGGCACAGACAACACGUCUGAGACAGACAACACGUAAUGCAUGGAUCAGACUACAAGACAAAUUUGGUCUUUCACGAUUGCACUAUGUCAGGCGACUAAAAUGUUGUAUUCCGAUACCACCACAUCCCGUCUUUUACGAUCACUGGGCUUUAUAUUGUCAACUCAAAUGCGACCGGGUACACUCAUGACCACAACAACAACAAUUGAUCGUGUCGUGUGUAUUAUAAGAAGAAUCCAUCCAUCCAUUUUCUACCGCUUAUCCGAGGUCGGGUCGCGGGGGCAGUAGCUUUAGCAAGGACGCCCAGACUUCCCUCUCCCCAGCCACUUCAUCCAGCUCUUCCGGUGGGAUCCCGAAGUGUUCCCAGGCCAGCCGAAAGACGUAGUCUCUCCAGCGUGUCCUGGGUCGUCCCCGGUGUCUCCUCCCGGUGGGACGUGCCCGGAACACCUCACCGGGGAGGUGUCCGGGAGGCAUCCGAAUCAGAUGCCCCAGCCACCUCAUCUGGCUCCUCUCAAUGUGGAGGAGCAGCGGCUCUACUCUGAGAUCCUCCCGGAUGACUGAGCUUCUCACCCUCUAUAUAAUACUGUAAUCAUUUAUGUACAAAUAUUUUAAUGAAAUACCUUUAUGAAAUUGACAAUUAUUUGGUUCAACAUAAAUAGUUUGAGAUGGGUUUUUUUCAAAUGUUUCAACUUGAAAUUUGUGAUUGUUCUAAUUUUUUGUGUAGUGUGUACUGGCGUCUGUGGGCCUCAACCACUUGUAGCAGGUAUUGUCACUGUUCUUCUUGUUUACCAUUCGCAACAUCAAACAGUUUUUGCAUUUUUCCUGAAAUGCACUUCUCGUAACUUCUACCUGUCCAAAUUUUCUUGCUUUGUUUUUCUCAAUCUCUUCUUUCAUAGUAUAGUCUUUCAAUUUUGAGAAUUCUGUGCUAGGCAUCUAUUACAGGAAUUAUAGCAUUCUACCAAAAAGUCAAAAUUUCCCCAUCAAUUGUUUCAGUUUCUCUUAAAUUCUUUUUGUUUUUGCGAAUGAUGUAGAUGGGCCUCCAAACCGUUCACCGCUUUAUACCAUUUCAAGCCUGUUCAUUGGACUUGAACUCGAAAUUUUCAAUUUUUUAAUUGAAAGUGAAGUACUUCAAGUCUAAUGAAUAGCCACAUGGUAACUUCCAUAUCAGAGAUGGGAAGAACUUUCAGACAAAUAUUCGAUUUCCAUUUUUCAAGUGUGUUCAGCUGUUAUAUCUGCCCAAGGUGGCUACAUUGAGUCAAAGGUUUAGAAUACGUUUUUGUUUUUAGAUUGAUUCCAUAACUUUAUUUUUUUACUUGAAUAGUUUAUUUGUUCUGUGAGUUCAUUUCAGAGUAAAAUGAGAAAUUAAACUGCAUUGAGGACUCUUAGUGUCUUUACAAGGUGGCAGAUUUAUUUAUUGUACUGCCACUUCACAGAGCACAUGUCCCAUGUUAAAAAUGUUGAGGAAAGUUACUCUGCUGAUUUUAAGAAGAACGUGAUCACUGUUGCCAUCAGAAGGGUAACAGCUUGGUGGUUUGACAUAAAGCUA